AAGGAUUGCUCAGAGCCUGGAGCUGAUCUGCAAAUUUCUAAUCCUCCCUGCCACGGUCCCAUUUCUUCCCACACUUUCUGCUGUUGAGAAAGAAGAAAGUAAAAAGGGAAAUUGAGAGUCGGAUGGGCUGAGCAGAGAGCAGGAGCUGAGAUUUGUUUUUCCUGGCUGACACACUGGGUGCUGUUGGUGCGCUCGCCACUUCCUUGAAAGGCCAGUACGGGGGGGAGAAAAGAGAUUAAGGUCAUCAAGAUAAUAGAAAGAAUAUUCAGACUGGAAGCAGAGGGGAAAUAUUGAAGGCCUGUUUUUCCAGUGGCUCUGUGCGAGCUGGACUUCCAGCAGAACACCUGCAGAGAGGGAUACAGCCCUGAACCUCGCCUUGGCAGAAACGUGCGUUGGUGCGUUGGUGCAUUGUAGAACCAACAGCGCCCGCAAACCAGCUCCGAAACCUAUUGAUCCGCAAACGUAUCGAAAGCCAGCAAGACUCUUUCCAUCGACUUCAGCGAGCUUUGCAUCUGACCUCGGUUGCAGACAUGCUUUUUGGAGGAAUAAGCUGUCCCUGCACAAAGGGAAACUACCUUUUGCUGCGUUUUGUACCACAGCAGAUUUAUUCUGUGCAGUCCUUCCCCCCCCCCAUGUGUUUUAAAGGGAGAAAAUAAAUCUCUAGCAAUGUAUUGACUUAAUGGGGUUUGAAUUUUCUAAUAAGGGACGCGCCAGA